UUAAUGUCACUUUUAUAUUCAAGCUGAGAAAACAUCUUAUUCAUGUGAGAUCCAUAUCACAUGGGCUACACUAUAUUAACUCUUGUGUUGUCUUCCCGUCGUCCAUUAUCUGUAUGUUUGU